CAUUCUCUCUGUCUGAAAAACUCGAUUAACAACUCAAUCUUCAGUCAAAAUCUCGAUUGAGUUAACUAAACCAUUUUGUUUUUGAUAAAGAAGGUCAUUGUGUUCACUUUGUUUUUGAUGAAAAAGAUUACCGUGUUCACUUAAUCUAGGGUUCAUGAAAAAAUUUCUUUGUCUCGUGAGGUUAGUUUGCUAUAAUGGAGAGACUUUACAUGUGGGUUUUAUUUAAUUUGUGUUUUUGCUUCUUAAAUUUGGAUUUUAGAGUUUUCUGGACUUAUGUUCUUCCUCAACAAAAAAAACCCAGGUAUGAAGGAACAGUUUGGGAUGAUUUAGCUCAUGGAAAAGCAGUGUAUGUUGCUCAAAAGGGGCUUGUCAAGUAUCUUCUGUGGUUGCAGGUACGAAGGUGAAUGGUUGCAGAAGAAUUUUUAACAGCUCAAUACAGUUUUUCAAUAUAUAAGCUCAGUUCGAAUUUUUAGAUUUCUGAAGAAGUUUGUAAUGGAAGUGCUGGAGAUGAUAUAGGGAUGGAUGUUGUGAUACCUGAUGGUGAAGAAGAAGAGAAAUAAGAGAAUCCAAAGAAGAAUGAUAAAGAAAAGGAGUUAACUAUAAGUAUAUUUAUUAUAAGGUUAAAAAAUCCAAAUUUGUUCUGUCACAUUUACGAAUUUUGCUCAAUUGUUCUGUUAUACAAAAUUCCUAGCAGCAAAAAUUAAGUAUAUUUUUGAAUUCUCAACCUCAUUUUUGAUUAAAAUUAAUUUUGGUUAUGUGGCUGUAUCAUUUGUUACCUUACAAUGUCAUUCAUGAUUUCACUAUUAAGCUCAAUGUAGGGGUUACAAACAAGAUAAGUUUCCUAAUUUUGUUUGCUGUUUGAAAAAUUAACUAAAGGACCUUUUUUUAUAUCAGUUAUAUUAGAUGAGUUACAAGCUCAGGUUCUAAUCAAAUGGAGGUUUGUCAUAGUCCUAGAAUACAAGAUCGGCUAGACAUGGAAGUUGAGAAGAAACGACAACAACAAAGAGAUGCUCGAUUAAACAAUCGGCGUAGUUGUGAAAAGGCAAAAGAACAACAAUGACGGAAAAUGAAAUACAAGAGCUUCUUCAAAAACGAAGCAGCAAUUACAGUAUGCGAACUGCAAGACGAGAUACACAUGCAAACAAAAAUGAGCAUGAAGCAUCAACAAGUUCUGAUGGUUUCACAAGGUAAGAUUCUGGGUUUCCAUCCACAUCGAAGUCUAAGAAUUAUCGAAAGGCAAUCUCAAAAACAAGGAUACACCCACCUACAGCGUCGCGGUGCUACAUAUGCAAGGAAAUCCCAACAGCAAAGAGAUUGUCACCUACAGCAGGGUCGUGCUGCAUAUGAAGUAAAACGAGAUUUGAUAGCCGAAGUCGAAACACUAGCGCUUCUUGAUCAAACUGAGUAAUGCUUAUUGCAUUGAAGGGGUUUGCCGAUGUAUCUCUUUGCUGUACACGUUUCAUGCAAUUCAUCAAGAUUAUGAUAGAUUAGGAUCAUUUGUUUUGUCACGAAGACCACCAAUGCUGGGAAAAUUACGUCAAAAUUGCAUGUGAUUGAGCUUGGUGCCCAUCUAGGUAUGCCAAAGAAAUUCCCUAAGGUUAAGGUCCUUGUCCUCCUAUUUUUUACAGCUAUUGCAUUA